AUUGAACGCUGGCGGCAUGCCUUACACAUGCAAGUCGAACGGUAACAGGUCUUCGGAUGCUGACGAGUGGCGAACGGGUGAGUAAUACAUCGGAACGUGCCUAGUAGUGGGGGAUAACUACUCGAAAGAGUGGCUAAUACCGCAUGAGAUCUACGGAUGAAAGCAGGGGAUCGCAAGACCUUGUGCUACUAGAGCGGCCGAUGGCAGAUUAGGUAGUUGGUGGGAUAAAAGCUUACCAAGCCGACGAUCUGUAGCUGGUCUGAGAGGACGAUCAGCCAAACUGGGACUGAGACACGGCCCAGACUCCGACGGGAGGCAGCAGUGGGGAAUUUUGGACAAUGGGCGCAAGCCUGAUCCAGCAAUGCCGCGUGCAGGAUGAAGGCCUUCGGGUUGUAAACUGCUUUUGUACGGAACGAAAAGCCCUGGGUUAAUACCCUGGGGUCAUGACGGUACCGUAAGAAUAAGCACCGGCUAACUACGUGCCAGCCGCCGCGGUAACAC
rnacentral:rRNA from 1 species